GCAAAGUCUACCCAGACACAGGCGCGCCGCUCGCUCCCUGUUCCAUCUCACCUGCUUCCUCAACGCUUGCGCAGACUUUGUCCUGAUCUCUCACCGUCGCCGUAUUUACUUUCCUUUCUGCCUCCUGCUCGGUUAUAGGUGAACAGAUAGAUAUUUCGCAGACGGCCGCAGAUAAGAAGAGAUAAGAACUGGAAACCCCUCACAUACGCCAAACAAAGAGAUGGCGUGUGGGUUGUGGCAGAACUUCUCUCAAAAGUGAGGCUGCCCCAGACGGGCCCAGAGGGCGGCUCCAGUGUUAUGUGAGGUGUCCAGUGCGGGGUGGGGCUCACCAGCUCCAGGUGGUCCUGCUGGAACCUGUCGCCGAUCUCCCGGAGUUUGCGGCCGAUUUGCACCUCCACGCUCAGCCCUGCCUGCUCCUCGGGCCUCGGCGCCGCCCGGUGAUCGUCCUGCCCUCUGCCCUCUCCCUCCUCCACUCGGACCCGCCUCCCUCCCCGGUCCUCCAUCGGCUCGAACUGAGCUGGGAAAUGUGAGCGUAAUCCAGCGUUGCCUAAGAGAGACAUUAAAGUUCAUUAGAAACGCAGUUAUGAACUAAUAAAACCAUGAUUCUGUUCUACUG